AGAGUCAACGCUGAACAGCUGUUUACCUAGAAGGAGCAGUGUCUGGUGGGUUCAUUCUUGAUGCCUAGCUCCAUUUGGUAAUAUGAAAAUAAUAAGGCUUUGCGUGAUUGCAGCGGGAAGGCAAUAAGAAAGGAAAGUCUGGAAGUUUUGACUAAUUCACUGAUGACCAAGGAGGAGACUGAUACAGAGGGUACCAGCCCCACCUUCUCUAGCAGUCACUUCUAGGAAUCAAGUUGAGAGAGUCCUAUGCAGUUUCUUGGAUUCAAUCUUGUUGCCUGAAAUAAGCUUUUAAGAUCUCUUCAUUCACAUUUCUCCCUACUGCCUUCAACAUGCUUCACGAGAGAAUUCCUUCCGAUCGCAGCAUUGAAGGAGAUUUUCUCGACCCAGUUGAAUCUCCGGAAGCACUGAUUUUACUGAUUCCUGUGGAUGACUUGGAAGAUGAUAUGGAAGAAAUAAUCGAAAUAUAUGAAGAGGAGGAGGGAGAAGUGGGAGAGGAAGAGCUGGUGGUGGAGGAGAUACUGGUGGAGGAGGAAGAGGUAGAGGAGGAAGAAGUAGAGCUCAUAAUAGGAAAAUACAUUCCUGAGAAUGAGGAGUAGAAAUGAGAAAUAAGAAAAAGAGGAAGCAGAGGAGGAAGAGGAGGGAAAAAGGAUUCAGUGAAAUGUACCUUUAUUUGCCAAGCUCAUGCAAGAAAACAAAAAAAUGUUAACAAAUCUUAAUAAAGUUUGCUUACUGGUUCAUUUACUU
ensembl:lincRNA 1700019B21Rik RIKEN cDNA 1700019B21 gene